UACGUAGGGUGCGAGCGUUAAUCGGAAUUACUGGGCGUAAAGCGUGCGUAGACGGUUAUGUAAGUUAGGUGUGAAAGCCCCGGGCUCAACCUGGGAAUUGCAUUUAAGACUGCAUAGCUAGGGUGCGGAAGAGGAAAGCGGAAUUUCCGGUGUAGCGGUGAAAUGCGUAGAUAUCGGAAGGAACAUCAGUGGCGAAAGUGGCUUCCUGGUCCAGCACCGACGUUCAGGCACGAAAGCGUGGGGAGCAAACAGG
rnacentral:rRNA from 1 species